rnacentral:rRNA from 1 species
UCCAGACUCCUACGGGAGGCAGCAGUGGGGAAUAUUGGGCAAUGGAGGAAACUCUUACCCAGCAAUGCCGCGUGAAUGAAGAAGGUCUUCGGAUUGUAAAGUUCUUUAAUUGGGGACGAAAAAAAUGACGGUACCCAAGGAAUAAGCCCCGGCUAACUACGUGCCAGCAGCCGCGGUAAUACGUAGGGGGCAAGCGUUAUCCGGAUUUACUGGGUGUAAAGGGAGCGUAGACGGAAAGGCAAGUCAGAAGUGAAAGCCCAAGGCUCAACCAUGGGACUGCUUUUGAAACUGUCAAACUAGAGUACGGGAGAGGUAAGAGGAAUUCCUAGUGUAGCGGUGAAAUGCGUAGAUAUUAGGAGGAACACCAGUGGCGAAGGCGUCUUACUGGACCGAAACUGACGUUGAGGCUCGAAAGCGUGGGGAGCAAACAGGAUUAGAUACCCGAGUA